rnacentral:rRNA from 1 species
GUACCCUCGUGAGGGUGCCUGACGGUACUGUAGGAAUAAGCACCGGCUAACUCCGUGCCAGCAGCCGCGGUAAUACGGAGGGUGCGAGCGUUAUCCGGAUUUAUUGGGUUUAAAGGGUCCGUAGGCGGAUUAAUAAGUCAGUGGUGAAAUCCCAUCGCUUAACGAUGGAACUGCCAUUGAUACUGUUAGUCUUGAAUGAGGGUGCAGUGGUUGGAAUGUGUAGUGUAGCGGUGAAAAUGCAUAGAUAUUACACAGAACACCGAUUGCGAAGGCAGAUCACUAACCCUAAGUUGACGCUGAGGGACGAAAGCGUGGGGAGCGAACAGGAUUAGAUACCCUGGUAG